rnacentral:rRNA from 1 species
ACUCAGAAAGUCAGGGAUUUUCGUGCACCUAAUAUCAAGGGGUUCGAUGCUCACCGCCAAGAGCACGGAGUACGACAAGGUGCUGGGCCUGGACGAGGGGGCGGAUGACUACGUGGCAAAGCCCUUUGGAAUGAUGGAGCUGAUGGCCCGGAUCCGUGCCGCCCUGCGCCACGGCGGGCAGCGGGAGCCACAGAGCCGCACCUACUCCCUGGGCACUUUGUUUGUGGACCCCGCCCGGCACAUCGUUCGGGACGGGGAGCGGGAGGUUACCCUGACGCUGAAGGAGUUUCAGGUCCUGUGUCUGCUGAUGGAGCGGGCCGGGACCGUGUUUACCCGGGAUCAGCUGCUCAACACCAUCUGGGGUUAUGAGUUUGACGGGGCCAGCCGCACGGUGGACGUCCACAUCCGAACGCUGCGCCAGAAGCUGGGGCGCUCCGGCGACUGCAUUGAGACCGUGCGCGGCGUCGGCUAUAAAGUCAGCACGGACACCCGGACAGAGAGUGUCCGCGGAGAAUGAGGGAAGGGAAUAUGACCGCAAAGCUGUUUCGCAACUCCAUGGCGGUGGCUGUUUCAGUGAUGGCCCUGUCCAUCAUCCUGUUCAUGGGGGUGCUCUAUCAAUAUUUCAGCGACCAGAUGAUGGAGGCGCUGGGGACGGAGACCUGGCUGGUGGCCCGGGGCGUGGAGCUGGAGGGGCUGAACUAUCUGGAUGGCCUGGACUCAGAGAACCGGGUGACCUGGGUGGCUGCUGACGGCACAGUGCUGUUUGACAGUUCCACAGACUCCGCCGCCAUGGAGAACCACGGCAACCGGGAGGAAAUCAGGGAGGCCCAGGAAAACCGUCUGGGUGCCGCCACCCGCUACUCCUCCACCCUGGCGGAGCAGACCCUGUACAGCGCCCGCCGCCUGUCGGACGGCACGGUGAUCCGCCUGGCCAGCAGUCAGCGGACGGUAUGGCUGCUGCUGCUGUCCAUGGUGCAGCCCAUUCUGGUGAUUCUGGUCCUGGCCCUGCUGCUGUCGGUCGUGCUGGCCUCAAGGUUGUCCCGGAGCAUCAUCCGGCCUAUUGCCGAGCUGGAUCUGGAACAUCCAGAGGACUGUGAUGCCUAUGACGAGCUGGCGCCUCUCCUCACCCGGAUCAAGCGGCAGAAUGACACCAUCAAGCAGCAGAUGGGGCAGCUCCAGCAGAAGCAGACGGAGUUUUCCGCUCUGACAGAGAACAUGGCGGAGGGCUUCCUGCUUCUGGACCGGCAGGGCCGUGUCCUGUCCCACAACCCGGGUGCGCUGCGCCUGCUGGGGGCGGAGGAGCCAGUGGGAGAGGUCAACGCACUCUUCCUUAACCGGGAGGAGCACUUCCGUCAGGCGGUGGACGAGGUACUGGCCUCCUAAAAGGUAACGGAGGCGCUCAAAGGUUCGUUCAGCACGGACGGAAACCGUGCAGUGAGUGUAAACGCAUAAACGAGCCUAACUGCGAGACCGACGGGUCGAGCAGUAACGAAAGUUGGAGUUAGUGAUCCGGCGGUAUGUGAGUGGAAAUGCCGUCGCUCAACGGAUAAAAGCUACCCUGGGGAUAACAGGCUGAUCUCCCCCAAGCGUCCACAGCGACGGGGAGGUUUGGCACCUCGAUGUCGGCUCGUCACAUCCUGGGGCUGAAUUCGGUCCCAAGGGUUCGGCUGUUCGCCGAUUAAAGUGGCACGCGAGCUGGGUUCAGAACGUCGUGAGACAGUUCGGUCCCUAUCUGUUGCGGGCGUAAGAGAUUUGAAGGGAGCUGUCCUUAGUACGAGAGGACCGGGAUGGACGUACCUCUGGUGCACCAGUUGUCCUGCCAAGGGCAUAGCUGGGUAGCUAUGUACGGACGAGAUAAACGCUGAAGGCAUCUAAGCGUGAAACUCCCCCUAAGAUUAGAUCUCUCAUUCGAAAGAAGUAAGGCACGACGUAGACUAUGUCGUUGAUAGGCCGGAGGUGGAAGCGCGGUAACGCGUGUAGCUGACCGGUACUAAUAAGCCGAGGGCUUGACCU